rnacentral:rRNA from 1 species
AGUGAACGCUGGCGGCAUGGCUAAAACAUGCAAGUCGAAGGAGAAGCAGACUUCGGUCUGUGGACACUGGCGAAAGGGCGAGUAAUGCAUUCGAACGUACCCCGAGGUGGAGGAUAGCUGUGGGAAACUGCAGGUAAUACUCCAUGUGCUCUAACGAGGAAAGCUCCGGCGCCUUGGGAGCGGCGAAUGUCCUAUCAGGUUGUUGGUGAGGUAAAGGCUCACCAAGCCGAAGACGGGUAGCGGGUGUGAGAGCAUGACCCGCCGCAUCGGGACUGAGACACUGCCCGG